GGGUGGGGAUUAGUGGCGAACGGGUGAGUAACACGUGGGCAAUCUGCCCUGCACUCUGGGACAAGCCCUGGAAACGGGGUCUAAUACCGGAUACUGAACCGCUUGGGCAUCCAGGCGGUUCGAAAGCUCCGGCGGUGCAGGAUGAGCCCGCGGCCUAUCAGCUUGUUGGUGAGGUAACGGCUCACCAAGGCGACGACGGGUAGCCGGCCUGAGAGGGCGACCGGCCACACUGGGACUGAGACACGGCCCAGACUCCUACGGGAGGCAGCAGUGGGGAAUAUUGCACAAUGGGCGAAAGCCUGAUGCAGCGACGCCGCGUGAGGGAUGACGGCCUUCGGGUUGUAAACCUCUUUCAGCAGGGAAGAAGCGAAAGUGACGGUACCUGCAGAAGAAGCGCCGGCUAACUACGUGCCAGCAGCCGCGGUAAUACGUAGGGCGCGAGCGUUGUCCGGAAUUAUUGGGCGUAAAGAGCUCGUAGGCGGCUUGUCGCGUCGGUUGUGAAAGCCCGGGGCUUAACCCCGGGUCUGCAGUCGAUACGGGCAGGCUAGAGUUCGGUAGGGGAGAUCGGAAUUCCUGGUGUAGCGGUGAAAUGCGCAGAUAUCAGGAGGAACACCGGUGGCGAAGGCGGAUCUCUGGGCCGAUACUGACGCUGAGGAGCGAAAGCGUGGGGAGCGAACAGGAUUAGAUACCCUGGUAGUCCACGCCGUAAACGGUGGGCACUAGGUGUGGGCGACAUUCCACGUCGUCCGUGCCGCAGCUAACGCAUUAAG
rnacentral:rRNA from 1 species